GGGAGAGGAGCCCAGUCCUGAAUUUCACCUGACCCCAUUCAGUGAUCAGCACUGAACACAGACCACUCACCAUGGAGUUGGGGCUGAGCUGGAUUUUCCUUGUUGCUAUUUUUAAAGGUGUUCAGUGUGAGGUGCAGCUGGUUGAAUCUGGGGGAGGCUUGGUGCAGCCUGGAGGGGCUCUGAAACUCUCGUGUGCAGCCUCUGGAUUCACCUUCAGUAGCUACUGGAUGAUCUGGGUCCGUCAGGCUCCAGGAAAGGGGCUGGAGUGGAUUGCAGCAAUUAACAAUGGUGGUGGUAGUACAUACUACACAGACUCUGUGAAGGGCCGAUUCACCAUCUCCAGAGACAAUAACAAGAACGAGCUGUAUCUGCAAAUGAACAGCCUGAGAGCCGAGGACACAGCCGUGUAUUUCUGUGCAAGAGACACAGUGAGGAGAUUUCAAUGUGAGCCCAGACAUAAACCUCCCUGCAGUGCUAUUCGUGACUAG